GAAGGGGUUUUUCCAGCCAGCUGAAGUUGCCUUUGUCCACAGGUGGAUUUGCAUGCAGGACAGAGAAGCGAGGCAAAGCAGACAACACCCAAACAACUCGCACUGCACCAAUACCCAGGCUCAAGAUCACGCCUGAUAUAUUCCACACUUAGACACAGCAUUUUCUCUGCCUGGGAACACUGGACAUGAGGCAGGAAUACACCAUGGAUGGGAUGCAAGUCCAUUGUAAACGCUAUACACACAGUUGGGAGUAGCCAAUCCACCUGCUGGCAUGUUCUUAGGAGACUUUGGGUAACGUGAACUCAAAGUUAUCCCAGCUACGCAGCAUCAGUGAGCGAGCAAAACCCAAUCCAGAAAGCCUGGAGGGAGGCGUGAAUGCACAGCACACAGGGACUUUCAGUUAGAGGGAGCCGAGAGGGCCAAAGGGUCUGAGGGGGUAUCGGUAAUAAUAUCUUUCAUUCUGAUGGGCAGGUCUGCAUUCCAUUCAGGCGAGCUUGUGAGUAUGAGCCUCAAACUUAAUCCACCUUCACACACACAUACACGCAUGCAGCUGUCAGCACCAGCGUAGCUGCUCAAAGCCAGGAUUUUACACACUGCUAAUCCUUUCACAAAUAUAGAUAUGCAAUAUAGCAAAUAUAUCAAGUGGUGCUGCUCGAUAUUGGCAAAAAUUAUAUAUGAUAAUCAUGAUUAUUUUAGUUGGUCCACAGUCAUAUUAACAUAUCAAUAUUAUACUUUAAAUGCUAAAUAUAACCUCAGUAAUACUCAAAUUAAGUAAAUAAAUAAAAUUGCCUAAUGUAGUAUGCAACUAUAUGCAUGGUUAAAUAAAUGAAUGGGAGCUUGUUAUUUAAUGUAUAAAUAAAAAAUAAUGAGUCAAUAAAAAAAUAAUAUCUAAUAUUAACUAAGCAUACCGAUUUUUAAAUGUCAAAAGUGAUAAUCAUGAUUAAAAUAUUAGUAAUUGUGCAGCCAUGCAACUAGCUAUCUAUCCAUCUUACUAUCUGUCUAGUCAUUUGUCAACCAUCUAUCUAUUGUCAUUUCUGCCCAUCCAUCCAACCACCUAUCCAUCCAUCUACAUAGCUGUCUACCCAUCUGUCUACAUGGCCAUCCAUUUGUUCAUCCAUACAGUCAUCUGUUGAUCUCAUUGUCUAUCCAUACAUCUAUUUGUCUGUCUAUCCAUCUGCCUAUCCAUCCAUCCAUCCAUCCAUCUACCGAUCUAUCUUGUUCUCUAUUAACCCAUAUCUCUAAUUGACUAAUGAAAAUAUGUACAGCAGGACACACAGAAAGUAGAAUUAGUGUGACUCACAAUG